rnacentral:tRNA from 1 species
UGCACAGUAGUUCAGUGGCAGCCCUUCUAGCUUUGGAAGGCGCCUGUUAAGCGGAGAUUCGCAGGUUCGAACCCUGCCUGUGCAGCCA